UAAGCAUAUAACUAAGGGGAGGAAAAGAAACUAACAGAAGUAUUCCCUCAGUAAGGGCGACUGAAGCGGGAAGAGCUCACCGUGUGAAUCUGUACAAGCCCAUGCUUGUGCCGAGUUGUGGUCUGUAGAAGCAUCGUCUGUUGGUGUCCCGGGCCAAGUCCUUUGGAAAAAGGCAGCAGAGAGGGUGAGACUCCCGUUCUUGCCUGGGACAUUCGACUAUAUUCGUGCCUUCGACGAGUCGAGUUGUUUGGGAUUGCAGCUCAAAGUGGGUGGUAAAUUCCAUCUAAAGCUAAAUAUUGGUAGGAGACCGAUAGCGAACAAGUACCGUGAGGGAAAGAUGAAAAGAACUUUGAAAAGAGAGUUAAAGAGUACAUGAAAUUGUUGAAAGGGAAGCGAAGGAAACCAGUGUUGUUCUGUCUCAUUCUUCUUGUGCUGCUUGCAGCAUAAGCGCUGUGGGUCAGGAUAGGCCACCUUUGGCUUGGGUCGGUGCAAAUAGUUGCUUUGGAGGUAGGUCCUUUUCGGGCUGAAGACACUGCAAUGUUGCGCUGGCCUGGACUGAUGAUGGCGAAAUGGUUUUCUUUACCCCGUCUU
rnacentral:rRNA from 1 species